rnacentral:rRNA from 1 species
GCCUACGGGGGGCAGCAGUAGGGAAUCUUCCACAAUGGGCGAAAGCCUGAUGGAGCAACGCCGCGUGGGUGAAGAAGGUCUUCGGAUCGUAAAACCCUGUUGUUAGAGAAGAAAGUGCGUGAGAGUAACUGUUCACGUUUCGACGGUAUCUAACCAGAAAGCCACGGCUAACUACGUGCCAGCAGCCGUGGUAAUACGUAGGUGGCAAGCGUUAUCCGGAUUUAUUGGGCGUAAAGAGAACGCAGGCGGUCUUUUAAGUCUGAUGUGAAAGCCUUCGGCUUAACCGGAGUAGGGCAUUGGAAACU